UGCACUGGCUCAGGGAGAAGCACAAAGCUAAAGCAUAAGUAUCAUUUCAAGUGCUCAUAACACCUUAAGAUCAUCAAAUUUUAUAAUUGGAUGUAUAUUGAUGAAACUUGCAUAAUUUGUGUUCUCCAUAAUCAUUUUGAUGUCCAUUUCUGCGAGUUUUAUUUGAUUAUAUAAGUAGUCUAAUCGAUUAGACUACUCUCUUUGUUUGCUGAAAUUGUGUUCUAUGAGUGAUUUAAUUUGUUAUGUUAAAAUGCUAAUCAAUUAAAUCAAUUCUAGAAAGGGUUUUCUCAUUUUCAAACUGGUUUCCCUCUUUAUUUAAUCAAUUAGAGAGAAACCCUAAUAUGUUAAAUUGUUCCUCCCUCUUUCUAGUUUUUAAAUCUCCAAAACCUCUUUCAAUCUUCAAAUCUCUCCAUACGUUCUCUGCUCCUCCUACUUACACAACAUCCACAUCUAAGCUGAAACGCAUCAAGAGAGUAGCACACAAAGCUCACACCCCU
rnacentral:lncRNA from 1 species